rnacentral:rRNA from 1 species
CCUACGGGAGGCAGCAGUGAGGAAUAUUGGUCAAUGGGCGGAAGCCUGAACCAGCCAAGCAGCGUGCGGGAUGAAGCCUCUACGGGCCGUAAACUGCUUCUGCACGGGGAUAACACCCUUCACGUGUGGCGGUCUCCAGGUACCGUGCGAAUAAGGGCCGGCUAAUUCGGGGCGAGCAGCCGCGGUAAUACGGAGGGCCCGAGUGUUACCCGGUUUCUUUGGGCUAAAGGGGCGCGUAGGGGGGCGCUCAAGUGAGCGGUAAAAGCGCGCGGCUAAACCGCGCACCGCAGUGGAAACUGGACGGCUUGAGUUCACAACAGGCAGGCGGAAUUCGUGGUGUAGCGGUGAAAUGCGUAGAUAUCACGAGGAACCCCGGUUGCGAAGACAGCCUGCCGGGGUGCGACUGACGCUGAGGCUCGAAGGUGCGGGUAUCAAACAGGAUUAGAUACCCGAGUAGUC